rnacentral:rRNA from 1 species
AUGCUCGCCGUGAUGGCGACGAUGAUGAUGAUGAUGGCCACCGCCGCUGCACUCGUACCGGAGGGGGCGGUGCUUGCAGGACAGGCGAGGGCGCUCCUCGUCUGGAAAGCCAGCCUCGACGACCAAAGCCAGCACACACUGCUGUCCUGGGAGAACAUGUCGGCGCCCUGCAGCUGGCGUGGCAUCACGUGCACAGGGCAACAUCGCCGGCCGGUGAUCAGCGGCAUCUCUCUGCAGGGGAUGCGGCUUAGAGGGGCGCUGGGGCCACUCGACUUCUCAGCCUUGGCGACCCUGACGCGCCUCGACCUCUCGCACAACCACCUCAGCGGGAGCAUCCCUGCCGGCAUUGAGGCCCUCGGAGAGCUCCGUGCUCUGCUUCUACAAGGCAACCAGAUAAGAGGCUCCAUUCCACUAGGCCUAGCAAAUCUCACAAAAUUACGCUCCUUAAUGCUUAAUGAAAAUGAACUCUCCGGUGGAAUACCAAGGCACAUAGGCAACAUGAGUAAUCUUGUGAACCUCACCUUGUCGGUCAAUCACUUGGUUGGUCAAAUCCCCUUUGAAAUAGGCCACCUAAAGCACUUGGUUACAUUAGAUUUUUCUAAUAACAAUCUUUCCGGCUCAAUCCCAAGCAAUAUAUGUGACUUGACAAAACUUGCUACCUUGUACCUUGACGCCAACCAACUCUUUGGACACAUCCCUCGAGAACUUGGUCAUUUGGUCAAUUUAAAGGACCUGGGCCUUAGCCGAAACAAGCUGAUAGGUUCCAUCCCAAAUAACUUGAGAAAUUUAACAAAACUCACUGCCUUGUAUUUUGGACAGAACGAACUUCCUGGCCAAAUUCCACAAGAUUUAGGUUAUCUAGUGAAUUUAAAGGUCUUGGAUCUUUGUCAAAACACGUUCUCAGGUUCCAUUCCAAUAAAUUUGUUUAAUUCGACGAAGCUCACUAUCUUAUCUCUAUGGGGCAACAGGCUCUCUGGUCAAAUUCCACAAGAAUUAAGUCAGCUAGUUAACUUGGAGGAAUUAGAACUUAAUACAAACACACUAUCAGGUUCUAUCCCAAUCACUAUAGGGAAUUUGACCAAACUCACUAGAUUAUACCUUUUCCAGAACCAACUUUCGGGGCAAAUUCCACGGGUGCUAGGUUAUAUGAUGAACUUAAAAGAAUUGGCUCUAUAUGAAAACACACUCUCAGGGAACAUUCCAAGAAAUUUAUGUAAUUUGACCAAGCUCACUGUCUUAAUUCUUUCACGCAAUAGACUUUCUGGUCAGAUUCCACAAGAAUUAGGUUACCUUGUGAACUUAAAUGACAUGGAUCUUACUUUUAAUACACUCUCAGGUCCUAUCCCAGUCACCAUAGGCAAUCUGACAAAACUCAAUAUAUUAAGCCUUUUUAUGAACCAACUUUCGGGGCGAAUUCCACGAGAAUUGGGUUACCUUGUGAACUUAGAGGAGUUGGAUCUUAAUAUUAACAAACUAUCAGGUUCCAUCCCAAACAGCUUACGAAGUUUGACAAAGCUCACCAAGUUAUGCCUUGCACAAAACCAACUCUCUGGAUCUAUUCCUCAAGGAAUUGGCAAGUUAACGAGCCUAGUUCAACUGCAACUCCCUUUUAACAACCUCUCUGGUUCCUUGCCAUCUGGUCUUUGUGCGGGAGGUCAGCUACAAUUUUUGAUCGUUAACGACAACAACUUGGUUGGACCCUUGCCAUCAAGUUUGCUAAGUUGUACAAGCCUAGUCAGGAUUCGACUUGAACGGAAUUACCUCGAAGGAGAUAUCACCGAGAUGGGAGCUCAUCCAAAUCUUGUCUAUAUUGAUAUAAGUUCAAAUAAACUAUUUGGUAAACUAUCUCAUCGUUGGGCUGAGUGCUACAAUCUUACAGUGCUACGUGCAUCAAAAAACAAUAUAACCGGAGUAAUACCAUCAAGUAUUGGGAAAUUAUCUUGGUUGGGGAUACUUGAUGUUUCAUCAAAUAAGCUUGAAGGACAAAUUCCUCCAGAAAUCGGCAAUAUAACGAUGUUGUUCAGUUUGAGCCUUUUUGGUAACUUGCUCCAGGGAAAUAUGCCCGCAGAAAUUGGAUCACUGAAAAAUGUGGAAUAUCUAGAUUUAUCAUCAAACAACCUAACUGGGCAGAUACCAGGAUCAAUUCAGCAUUGUUUGAAGCUUCACUCUCUAAAGUUGAGCCAUAAUCACUUCAAUGGUAUAAUUCCUAAUGAACUAGGGAUGUUGGUAAACCUACAAGAUAUGUUGGAUCUAAGUGAAAAUUCAAUUGAUGGCGCUAUUCCUAGUCAACUAGGUGGUCUUACUAUGCUUGAAGCCUUGAAUCUUUCUCACAAUGCACUGAACGGCAGCAUUCCACCAUCAUUCCAGAGCAUGAACAGCCUCCUAUACAUGGAAAUGUCAUACAACAAAUUAGAAGGGUCAGUGCCACAUACUAGGCUCUUUGAAGAGGCUCCAAUCAAAUGGUUUAAGCAUAAUAAGAAAUUGUGUGGUGUUGUAAGAGGUUUGCCCCCUUGUGAUCUUCCUCAAAGUAGUGAACAAGGGAAAAAUUCUGGUGCUAUUUUACUCUCUAUAAUAGCCGCAAUUGCAUCUUUUAUGUUUGUCAUUGCACUGGUAACAUGGCAGUGCAAAAAGAAGAAAACCAAGACAGCAGUUAUAGAUAAAUCACAACAAACCAAGAUGUUCACCAUUUGGAAUUUUGAUGGGGAAGAUGUGUACAAGAAAAUUGUUGAUGCCACAAACAAUUUCAGCAACGCUCAUUGCAUUGGAUCUGGAGGUAAUGGAUCAGUCUACAGAGUCCAGUUACCAACAGGUGAAUUGUUUGCAGUGAAAAAGAUCCAUAUGAUGGAAGAUAAUGAGCAAUUUAACCGUGAAAUACAAGCAUUGAUGUAUAUUCGACAUCGGAACAUUGCAAAGUUAUUUGGUUACUGCUCUGCAACCCAAGGAAGAUUUCUUGUGUAUGAAUACAUGGAUAGAGGAAGCUUAUCAGCAUCUUUGAAGGGUACAGAAACUGCAGUUGAAUUGGAUUGGCCGAAGAGGUUAAAUAUUGUUUGCGAUGUUGCUCAUGCUUUGUCUUACAUGCAUCAUGACUGCUUCGCACCGAUAGUCCACCGAGAUAUAACAAGCAACAACGUUUUGCUUGACCUGGAAUUUAGAGUUUGCAUCUCAGAUUUUGGUCUAGCGAAAAUACUAGAUGUGGAUGCAUCGAACUGCACUAGUCUCGCAGGGACAAAAGGAUAUCUUGCCCCAGAGCUUGCAUACACAACAAGGGUGACGGAGAAGUGCGAUGUUUAUAGCUUUGGGAUACUUGUUCUAGAGCUGUUCAUGGGACAUCAUCCAGGUGAUUUCCUUUUGUCCAUGGGCAACAACAAAAAUAGUACAUCAAUUGAGAAAUUUCUGGACACCCGGCUCCCACUCCCUGAAGCUGAGGUCGCAACUAAGAUAUUUCAAGUGGUCGCCAUCGCUGUUCGGUGCAUAGAGCCCGAUCCAUCGCACCGUCCGACGAUGCAGCAAGUAACCAAGGUGUUGUCAGCAGCUGAGCGACCUGCUAAUAAUCUUGAUUAUCUCCACACUAGCAUUGUCAUCCCUGCCUGCUGGUCGUGA